AGCGCAAUGACUCUUCUAAAUGGUGGUGGUUGUCCCGGUACAAUAUUGAACUAGAAGGAAAAUGCAUGGACACGAGCCAAGUUGAAGCAAACAAACUAGCUCACUCCAUGUCCUGGUGCUCUGUUGGGUCUCAUGGCUUCUGUAACCUGUGAGGAGAAGAGAGCUCCUGAGCUUUACGGGAAUUGGGCAGCAGAUGGACUUCAGCAGUCAGCUAGAUCAAGGAAUUAGUUCUGAGUAGAAAUAAACAAGGCCUAAGUCCACCUGUCCUGAAACGAGGAGGCCACAGGCACCCUGGGAUGGCUGGCAUUCCUUCAGGGCCUCACCUGGCAGAACAUGGUGUGUGUGUGAAGGACUGAAGCUGUGGCCAGCAAUCAGGCUGCCAUCAGCUUCUCCCCUGCCUUGGGGAGCUCCUUCAUCCCGAGCUGCCCCUCUGGAAGAGCCUGGCACGGAGCAAGUGUCCUCACUGCGUGUCUGCUGGAAGGUCCAGGAUUGUUUUGUUGCUACAGAAGGCGUGAAAGCAGGUACAUGGUUGUGUGACUGCGUGACGUUGCCACCAGCUCUUCAGCGGCACUGGGUGAGUAACAGCCUUUCUGUCACAGUCGCUGUGUGGUCUAGCAGCUCCCUGCACAUGUGGGCUGGGUUGAAGUGAGAUGGAAAUUUCAGGGGGUUGACAAAAAUAAAUACUUUGUUUCAUGUCAG
rnacentral:lncRNA from 1 species